AUUGAACGCUGGCGGCAGGCCUAACACAUGCAAGUCGAACGAGUGGCGGACGGGUGAGUAAUGUCUGGGAAACUGCCUGAUGGAGGGGGCUAACUACUGGAAACGGUAGCUAAUACCGCAUACCAUCGGAUGUGCCCAGAUGGGAUUGGCGAGUAGGUGGGGUAAAGGGUCACCUAGGCGACGAUCCAUAGCUGGUCUGAGCGGGUGACCAGCCACACUGGAACGUAGACACGGUCCAGACUCCUACGGGAGGCAGCAGUGGGGAAUAUUGCACAAUGUGCGCAAGCCUGAUGCAGCCAUGCCGCGGGUAUGAAGAAGGCCGUCGGGUUGUAAAGUACUUUCAUCGGGGAGGCGUUACCCGCAGAAGAAGCACCGGCUAACUCCGUGCCAGCAGCCGCGGUAAUUC
rnacentral:rRNA from 1 species